rnacentral:rRNA from 1 species
UCCACGCCGUAAACGAUGAGAACUAGAUGUUGGGGGAAUCUGUCCCUCAGUGUCGCAGCUAACGCGUUAAGUUCUCCGCCUGGGGAGUACGCCGGCAACGGUAAAACUCAAAGGAAUUGACGGGGACCCGCACAAGCGGUGGAGCAUGUGGUUUAAUUCGAUGCAACGCGAAGAACCUUACCUGCCCUUGACAUUGACAGAAUCCUGUAGAGAUACGGGAGUGC